UGCAUUUGCUACUGUAAAUCGCUCUGGAUAAGAGUGUCUGCUAAAUGACUAAAA
rfam:Salmo salar isolate Sally breed double haploid chromosome ssa14, whole genome shotgun sequence.